rnacentral:rRNA from 1 species
GACGAACGCUGGCGGCGUGCUUAACACAUGCAAGUCGAACGGAAAGGCCCUGCUUUUGUGGGGUGCUUGAGUGGCGAACGGGUGAGUAACACGUGAGUAACCUGCCCUUGACUUUGGGAUAACUUCAGGAAACUGGGGCUAAUACCGGAUAGGAGCUCCUGCUGCAUGGUGGGGGUUGGAAAGUUUCGGCGGUUGGGGAUGGACUCGCGGCUUAUCAGCUUGUUGGUGGGGUAGUGGCUUACCAAGGCUUUGACGGGUAGCCGGCCUGAGAGGGUGACCGGCCACAUUGGGACUGAGAUACGGCCCAGACUCCUACGGGAGGCAGCAGUGGGGAAUAUUGCACAAUGGGCGGAAGCCUGAUGCAGCAACGCCGCGUGCGGGAUGACGGCCUUCGGGUUGUAAACCGCUUUCGCCUGUGACGAAGCGUGAGUGACGGUAAUGGGUAAAGAGGCACCGGCUAACUACGUG